AGGGGUACAGCUCAGUGAUAGAGUAUGUACUUAGCAUGUGCAAGACCCUAGGUUCAAUCACUAGCACCCCUA
rnacentral:tRNA from 1 species